GAACACAUCACCUCCCUUUGGGGAUGCGUGGACUUGGACGUUUGCCGACGCAAGUUGGCUCGUCUCGAAAUGCAUUAGCCUGCAGAGUGCUUCGCUGGGCCUUUGGCGUGAUAGUCACAUUUCGCCGUAGUGUCUGCGAUGUCUUCGACUCUGGGCUUACAAUAUUUGGAACCCAUCCGUGGGGACCAUCUUUUUACGCU
rnacentral:misc_RNA from 1 species